rnacentral:rRNA from 1 species
UACGUAGGGUGCAAGCGUUAUCCGGAAUUAUUGGGCGUAAAGAGCGUGUAGGCGGCCAGACAGGUCCGUUGUGAAAACUCGAGGCUCAACCUCGAGACGUCGACGGAAACCGUCUGGCUAGAGUCCGGAAGAGGAGUGUGGAAUUCCUGGUGUAGCGGUGAAAUGCGCAGAUAUCAGGAAGAACACCUAUGGCGAAGGCAGCACUCUGGGACGGUACUGACGCUGAGACGCGAAAGCGUGGGGAGCGAACAGG